rnacentral:rRNA from 1 species
GAUGAACGCUGGCGGCGUGCUUAACACAUGCAAGUCGAACGGAGCUAUGACACGGAGUCUUCGGAUGAAGUGCUGUAGCUUAGUGGCGGACGGGUGAGUAACACGUGAGCAACCUACCUUUUGCAGGGGAAUAACUCUGGGAAACCAGAGCUAAUACCGCAUGCCGUGCGCUUGGGGCAUCCCAGGUGCAUGAAAGGAGCAAUCCGGCAGAAGAUGGGCUCGCGUCCGAUUAGGUAGUUGGAGAGGUAACGGCUCCCCAAGCCGACGAUCGGUAGCCGGACUGAGAGGUCGAUCGGCCACAUUGGGACUGAGACACGGCCCAGACUCCUACGGGAGGCAGCAGUGGGGAAUAUUGGGCAAUGGGCGGAAGCCUGACCCAGCGACGCCGCGUGAAGGAGGAAGGCUUUCGAGUUGUAAACUUCUUUGGGAGGGACGAAGAUGACGGUACCUCCAGAACAAGCCACGGCUAACUACGUGCCAGCAGCCGCGGU